GAUGAACGCUGGCGGCGUGCCUAAUACAUGCAAGUCGAGCGAAUGAUGAGGAGCUUGCUCCUCUGAUUUAGCGGCGGACGGGUGAGUAACACGUGGGUAACCAGCCUGUAAGAUGGGGAUAACUCCGGGAAACCGGGGCUAAUACCGAAUAAUAAAAGAGGAAGCAUUUCUUCUUUUUGAAAGUUGGUUUCGGCUAACACUUACAGAUGGGCCCGCGGCGCAUUAGCUAGUUGGUGAGGUAACGGCUCACCAAGGCGACGAUGCGUAGCCGACCUGAGAGGGUGAUCGGCCACACUGGGACUGAGACACGGCCCAGACUCCUACGGGAGGCAGCAGUAGGGAAUCUUCGGCAAUGGGCGAAAGCCUGACCGAGCAACGCCGCGUGAGCGAGGAAGGCCUUCGGGUCGUAAAGCUCUGUUGUCAGGGAAGAACAAGUACGAGAGUAACUGCUCGUACCUUGACGGUACCUGACCAGAAGGCCACGGCUAACUACGUGCCAGCCGCCGCGGUAAAAC
rnacentral:rRNA from 1 species